CUUUUGAAUUCGUUGUUUCCGGAAUUUUAUUACUUCCGUUGACAGCCAUUUUAUAAGACGCUUCUGUGGUGCUCGCGUAUGUUUGCUUCUAUUUUCAGUCGAAGACUCGUUUUAUAAGCCUCGGAAUUUAAGAGAGAUUAUCUAGGAUUUCCCGUGUCGCUUAUUAUCUCUAACAAAUUUCGAAAAUCAUGAAUGCAGAAGAGAUACAAAUUCCAAAUAAUGACGAAAGAGAUCGAAGUAGAGAAAGAGAUCGGAUGAGAAGAUUAGAUAGACAAAACCGUAUCAAUUCUACUAGUCGUGAUAGGAGUAGAGAAAGAAAUGAUCGUGUUGGUAGAAAAGCAUCGGACACUAGGAUUUAUGUGUCCAAUAUACCAUAUGAUUUUCGAUGGCAGGACUUGAAGGAUUUGUUUAGAACACACGUUGGCAAGGUGGCACACGUUGAACUUUUUACAGAUGAAAAUGAUAAGCCUCGUGGUUGUGGUAUCGUAGAAUUUGAAGAUGCAGAAUCUGUUAAAGUUGCAGUUGAGAAGAUGCAUCGUUUUGACACCAAAGGAAGAAAAUUAGUUGUAAAAGAGGUAAUUCAAGAGGACUUUGAUGUUGAGCGUGAUAAAUAUGGUCGUUUAGCAACAGCACGUAAUAAUGAUAGACCGAGAGAUGAUAGGUUUAGGGAUCCUCCUCGGCAACAAGGAGUUGGUAGACAAAACAUGCCUGCACCUAGUGGAGGUGGUGGUGUUGGGGGUGGUGGUGUUGGUGGCGGCGGUGGUGGUGGUGGUGGCGGAGGAGGUGGAGGCGAUAGCAAAUUUGGUAACACUUAUGGACUAAGUACGCAAUUCUUGGAAUCCUUAGGCAUCAAUGGACCGUUGGUUACAAGAGUCUUUGUAGCAAAUUUGGACUAUAAAGUGGAUGAAAAGAAAUUAUUGGAAGUAUUUAAAUUAGCUGGAAAAGUCUUACACGUUGAGUUGGGCAAAGAUAAGGACGGAAAAUCUCGAGGUUUUGGAGUUGUAGAAUAUGACCACCCUGUAGAAUCUGUACAGGCUAUUUCAAUGUUGCACAAUCAACAACUUUAUGAUAGACGAAUGACAGUAAGACUCGAUAGAGCUAACGAACCAGAUAUGCCACCAAAAUUGCCAGAAGGUUUAAAGGGCAUUGGAAUGGGAUUGGGAGCUGGAGGAAACAGAUUAAUGGAUGUAGCUCGAAACAUUCCUAGCGUACAAGCCAACAAUCCACCUGUUGUAAAUCCAAUCUCUGCUCCUGUUUUGGCUGCUGGUGCUUUCGGCGCUGGAUUAAAUAAUGUCGUGCCUGCGCAAUUAGCAUCUGCGUUGUCAAAUUCAAACGCUGCAGCAAUUCAAGCAAGUCUUGCCGGUGGAUUAGGAGCAAAUCUAACUACAAGUUCUUUGUUAAACUCAUCUUUAACAAAUGAUCUGGCUUCUAAUUUGAACAGCUUUGGUGGAGGAGUUGGGGGUUUAUCAGGUUUGCAAGCUUCUUUAGCUGGUGGACAAGGCAAUAAUUCUUUUGCACCAAGAGGCUUGUCUAAAAUGGACAACGACUUAGGAUUCGGUGGUAAUAAUGCUUUCGGAAGUUCAUCAUUCGGUGGUGGCAGAGAUUUUGAUGGAGGCUUCAACAGAGGGGAUGGCGAUCGUAUUUCUGGAGGAGGCGGUGCCUUCUCGGGUAAUCAAGGACAAGGUGGUGGAGGUAAUCGACAAAAUGCUAAUGGAUCUCGACCAAUGUCGGAUACAAUUCUCAUAGGAAACUUACCAGCUAACACUACAUGGCAAAUGUUGCGAGAUAAAUUCCAAGAUGUUGGCGAGGUGAAGUUUGCUGAAAUGAGAGGUACGGAUAUGGGAAUGGUGCGAUUUGUAUCGGAAUGGGAUGCGGAGCGAGCAGUGUCAAUGAUGAAUCGUUCAAGAAUUGACGGGAGGACGAUCGACGUACGCUUAUACUAACGAUAGAAUGAACUUGGAAUGGAUUAAAGAUAUACUUGAUUAUCUUUGAUCGAGGAUACGAGGAAACACUUCAUCCAGGUGGCAUGUUUUUUAUCGAAUGAAGAUCGAGACAACGUUCCGCAUAAAAGGUAAAUAUGUGUAUAAUAUAAUAUGUGUUACGUGACUUUUCUUAUAUCACUUAUAUCUAAUAGCUAAAAAAAAAAUAAACAUCAAACGCGGAAAAUGCAUACAAAUUAUGUAUAUGUAUAUAUAUAUGUAUGUAUGAUGUAUAAAAAAAAAAAUUAGAAACUAUGAUCCAUCACAAGUAAUUAGAAAUAAAUAAAAAAUAAGAAUAUACACAACACACGUGUAUAAAUAUGUCGCGUAAAUGGGAUUUUUUUUUUUCUCGUGAUUUCAAGCUUACAACAAACUCUUAAGAAAAAAAAAGAAAAACAAGCGUAGCAUAAUAAUCUUUCGCACGUUGUCUUAUCUAUAUAUAUAUAUAAUAUAUAUAUAUGUAUAAGUAAAUGUUAAUAUGUUUAUUAUAUACUUGUAAUCUAUAUCAGUGUAGGUUUAAUCAUAUUUGAAAUAAAGAUAUCAUAAUUAUUAAAUAUCGCAAAA
rnacentral:misc_RNA from 1 species